AAAAAAAAAGGUCAAAUUCUUAGACCCACACAUGACACUCCCCACCUACCCACUUAUUCUCAACCACACAUCUUUACAAAUAUCUCUCUCCAUCUUGACCGGCUACCCCUCUUCUUUCACACUCAAAACACAAACACAAACACACAAAUCCCUCCACUUCGCUCUCCCGAAUCUCUCCUUCUCUUGGUCUCUCAGUUAGCUUCUAAAAUUUUAGUCAUCAAACUCUUUUCCAUGGUUUGUCUUCUCCCAACAUGAAUGUAAGCACCAUGCCAUGUGUGGUUUCCCGGUGAUCACCCGAUUUGGUUUCCGUAGUUUUUGUGACAACGGAAUCAGAUCCAGGUCAGUGUCCUUUCACUUUGGAUGACGCAUUUUUCCCUGUUGCCCAUAGGGGGAAGAGGUUCCUUGAUUGUGUGUGAGUGAGGUUGUUGCUUGUGGGGCCAAAAGACCACAUGCAAAAGAGGUCCUAUUUGACGCGCUCUCCCUGCUACCCACGGGGGGAGAGAAAAACCUUGAGAGUAUGGGUGAGGCUGCUAUCCAUGGGGCCAAGAGACUACAUAUCAGAGAGGACAAUAUCAUGCCAGUUGUGAAUGGGUGAAUCCCAUGACCGGUUUAUGUGAUAGUGUGGUAUAUUUGCGAUAAAUUACCUUAUGUUGGAUUUUAUGGCUUUGAAAGUGUAUUGGUAGUGCUCACAGAUUACAGUAUAUAGUUUCAUGGUAUUAUUUUGAGAAACUUUGUGUUUCAUCAUUUAAUCAUUCUUGUCACAUUAUUAUUGAAAAUGAUCUUAUUGCAGGACUCAGUUAGAAAUUUCUCAAACUAAAA